rnacentral:rRNA from 1 species
GGGAGCUUGCUCCUGGAUUCAGCGGCGGACGGGUGAGUAAUGCCUAGGAAUCUGCCUGGUAGUGGGGGAUAACGUCCGGAAACGGGCGCUAAUACCGCAUACGUCCUGAGGGAGAAAGUGGGGGAUCUUCGGACCUCACGCUAUCAGAUGAGCCUAGGUCGGAUUAGCUAGUUGGUGGGGUAAAGGCCUACCAAGGCGACGAUCCGUAACUGGUCUGAGAGGAUGAUCAGUCACACUGGAACUGAGACACGGUCCAGACUCCUACGGGAGGCAGCAGUGGGGAAUAUUGGACAAUGGGCGAAAGCCUGAUCCAGCCAUGCCGCGUGUGUGAAGAAGGUCUUCGGAUUGUAAAGCACUUUAAGUUGGGAGGAAGGGCAGUAAGUUAAUACCUUGCUGUUUUGACGUUACCA